GACUCACAGCUUUCAAUCAGACAUUUUCCACAGUCUGCCUUUCUUUUCACAAGCAGAUUUGGGAUUGCUUCCUUGGAUAUGAUCUUCUUCAUUCCUUUUAAAUGAAGUUGUCCAAGUUUUCCAUGUUCCAGCUUCCCUUCCAGCUCUCCUUUGGCUAAGGGGCACUUGGAGGAGAAGAUUGAGUCUUUGGAUAUCCAUAGAUAACAGUUAUCUUUGGAUCUGGCUCCUCUC
rnacentral:lncRNA from 1 species